UGUGGAUUUGCAUUUCAGAAGUAGCCAAGAAGCCCCUGUUAGCUCACAGCGGUAUGCAUAUACAGUUUCCUUCACUGAUGCAAGCUCAAGAGAUGUGGUCGAGGGACGAGGUGAGGAAGGGCGGAGUCACGGGGCAACCCGCCCCCCCUAAUGCUGCUACAGUCUUGGUCACUGGCUCCAAGUUGUUUCAGUUCUGUGAAGGAUCUGAAUGAGCAGAAGAAGGCAAGGAGGAACAACACUUUUGUUGAAAAGUAUUGCACUCUUCAGGAUGGACUUUUGUCCUGCUGGGUCAACUGACUUGAGUGAGGCUGAAGAGGCUGAAAUAGAGACAAUCAGGCAGCACAGACAGGAGCUUUUGGAGGACAUUAAGAAGCUGAAAGAAGAGAUUGCUGAAGUGUUUGCGGAGAUUGAGUGCUUCCAAAAUGCAAAGGAGAGGCAAGAGGCAGACAGUAAUCCUGGGGAGCAGACCAGCAAACUAUCACAGAAGGAUAAACUUCUGUCCCUGGGCCGGAAGAAAUUCAACGUGGACCCUGCGAAGGGGAUCCAGUACCUGAUUGAGCACAAGGUAUUGUCCUCAAACCUGCAGGAGAUUGCCAAAUUCCUCCACAAUGGUGAAGGCCUGAACAAGACAGCCAUUGGGGACUACCUGGGUGGGAGGGACCCCACAAACAUUCAGAUCCUCCAAGCUUUUGUGGCGUGUCACCAGUUUGCCAACCUCAACCUGGUGCAGGCGCUGAGGCAGUUCCUAUGGAGCUUCCGCCUGCCUGGAGAAGCGCAGAAGAUUGACCGGAUGAUGGAGGCCUUUGCCAGCUGGUACUGCAAGUGUAAUCCAGGAGUGUUCCAGUCCACAGAUACCUGUUAUAUACUCUCCUUCUCUAUCAUCAUGCUCAACACCAGUCUGCACAACCCCAAUGUGAAAGACAAACCCCCCUUUGAAACAUUUGUAUCCAUCAACAGAGGCAUUGACAAUGGGGGGGACCUGCCAGAAGAGCUCUUAAAGAAUCUGUUUGAGAGCAUAAAGAAUGAGCCAUUCUCCAUUCCAGAGGAUGACGGGAAUGACCUCACACAUACUUUCUUCAACCCUAGCCGUGAGGGCUGGCUCCUGAAACUAGGAGGACGUGUGAAAACCUGGAAACGCCGUUGGUUCAUUCUGACUGAUAAUUGCCUGUACUACUUUGAGUAUACCACGGACAAAGAGCCUCUGGGCAUUAUCCCCCUGGAGAAUCUAUCAGUCCGGAAGGUGGAUGAUCCUAAAAAGCCAAACUGCUUUGAGCUCUUCAAUCCUAACUGCAAAGGGCAGAAGAUCAAAGCCUGCAAAACAGAUGCGGAUGGGAAAGUGGUUGAAGGCAAGCAUCAGUCCUAUAAGAUCUCAGCAGUCACACCAGCAGAACGUGAUGAAUGGAUUGAGGCAAUAAGGACCAGUAUCACACAGGAUCCUUUCUAUGAUCUGGUCUCUGCCCGUAAGAAAAAGAUUGCCAGCAAAAACUGAGCCCUGACCUGGGCACUGGCAGCAGGAAGAUGUAGUUGUUGGACUUCCCUCCCACACUGGGCUCUUCCAGUGAAGAAAUUUGGGAGCAUUGGUUCCCUCUGCCUCCCACUUGGCAGGAAGAUGACUGACAGGACAACUUGCCAGAUUUGCUUCUUCCCUUUCCAAACUGAAGGCAGAGGCACAGUGUGCAGUCCACUGAGAACUGUCAGAACCAUGGGCAUGGCGUUUCUUAUGUCCAAACUUAAAGGCUCAACAGCAACUGGCCUUUGGAUUUUCCCAUAUAGCCCCAGGCAUGUAAGACAGGAUGUGAGAGGAGACAAGAAUGUCUCCAGAAUGCCUCUCCUGCCAUCAAACCAGGCCUGGGUAUUUUGCUGUGAGGAACCCUGUAGAUGCUCUCAGAGCAUGGUUCAGUCAGUUGCAGAGCAGAAAAAGCACCAAUGGUUUCUCUUCCAUGAACAGAGAUGUGUAGUGGUUGUGGAGACGGGGCCACUGAUACUAAGAUCUCACUGUGAAACCAGAGGCCAAGGGAAGAUAAGAAGCCCCCUGUCUGGAAGAGAGCCUUCCCUACCUCUUCCUAUAGCUGAGAGGGCUGUAAUCCUGGGAGGUCCCUGCUCUGUAACUGAGUCAUAGGUUUUAAAACAUUAAAGAUGUUGGAUAGAGAGAUAAGGGGUAAAUGAGUGUAGAGAGGCUGUGGGACCAGGGAAGUAGCUCUGAGUCUUUUGUCUCUCUGUUUUGAGACCCAGGGACCACCACAGGUCUCCCUAGGGAAGUAAUCCAAACACUAGCUCUCCUCCUGGCUGAUGGCUCCCCAACAGAGGUUGCUUCCUUGUGCUGCCCCAGAGGCCUGGGCUGUGUAUCUGAAAAGCCUGCAGCCAGAAGACAUGAAAAACUGGAGGUGCAUACACACCACACACACAAGUGCAAGUGCAUACACACACACACACACAGACAUUCCCACCUUCAGACUGGUCAUCUGGAGUCUGGGUUUUUUUUUGUCUCUUGAGUAAAGAAAGAAAUAAAAGUGCCUGAAAUAAACCAAAACUCAGCGUAACAUGAUGGUUUUAGUGAUAAAAGCAGAGGAAAGCAGAGGAAGUGAGAUAAGUGUCAUGUUCCUGUGCCUAGCCAAGCAGCCUGGGCACCAGCGCAGCUCUGCACUGCACCCAAAAUGCAGGCGGGCUGAGUGCUGGCACAAGCUGGGCAGUGCGGGACAGAGGAGUAAAGGUGCAGGGAGCUGCAGCCCUGCAAACUGGGAACAGCACGGAGGCCAAUGCCGGGGGCUCCAGAGGCAAUUACACCUGCAGGGUUAAAGGACGUGGUAAGCUAUUGCUAUUUCCUCUGUCACCUUUUGGAUCUCUUCUAGUAAGCACUGGUGCUGCCUCAGUCUCUUGCAUUUUUCCUUCCUGCAGAGGGCUGUAUCUACCCGGCAAUCUGCAGCAGGGCCAGCACAGCCUAAUUAUUCAUUCUAGUUAUUUUUGCCCAAGCCACAGGAAUGCUGAAUUAAUUUCAAGAGGCAGGGAGUGUAUCUCAGAGUUGAAGCACGUGCUUACCCUGGAGAAGAAACAUGAAGGUUUUCUUCUGCUUGUGUCUGCAAAUGUCUCCUGUGUUGAAUCUUUUUGUUGCUGGUGUGAUACAGGGGGGUGAAUGCCCUUGGUGAUAGGAGCUCAUGAACAAAUGGAAGCCUGUAGGAAGGCAAGACUCUGCAAGCAAGUUGGCUGGGAGUGGUGUUCGGUGGCAGGGUGGGAGCACCCAUCUGAUAUACUGUCCAUUCCUGGCAAGCCUGAAACUGUUCAGCUGGUUAUCACACACCUUUCAGUGCAAAGGGAAAAUCAAGCAGCUCUUUUCUGCUAGCUAAACGGGGUUAUCUGGAGUGGGACUGCUAGCCUUUAACUCUCUCUGUGGUACACACCUCAGCCCUCCACAGCAGUGCAGGGAUUGCCACCAAGCGGGGUUGACAAGUUUGCCAGUUUGUACCAUACAUAAAUCUGGAAGACUAGAAGGCUAUCACAAGGGCCACAGAGGGAUGGGAGCCAGCCUUCAUACCCUCUGAGACUGGUCAUUUGCGUGGAAAGAAGCACAGUCCUGCUGUAUUGGAGCUGGUUUGAAUGGUGCAGUCAGAUUUGUGGGUCCAACAGGAGCAGUUCCUCCUGUCUCCCAUCCCUUAUGUGAUACUGUCUUCAUCAAACAGGCAGAAGCCAGCUAUUGAUCUUAGCAGAAUGAGAUAGUAUUUGCAAUGUCUCCUAUCAACAUAGUGUUCAGGCACCAGGCAGAAAAAUCCCUGGGACUGCAAAAAAGCCUGGAACUGCUUCUGCUGCAUAUGGAUAUGCUAAAGUCCCCUGGGACAGGCCAGAAAUUUUCCUCUCCCAAGCCACAGCCUGCUCAAGAACAGCAUGUAAGUUCAGACCUGGAGUACAGAGGAUGAUGAGUAGAGUGAGAACUGUUGCUGUCUCGCCUCUUUGUCCUCUGGUUUUGUCCUUAGUACUGAGAUUGUUGCAAGACCAUCUCAUUGUCUCUGUCCUCUUCCCUCACUCCACUCCUUACAACAGCACUCUUCUGACAGAUUUUGAUGGUGAGGUUGGAAGGAAAGACAGUUGGGUCUGGAUUGCUUAAGGGUACUUGAGAGUGGCAGGACUUCAUGCCCUAUUGCCUACAAGCCAAGAUCAGUGUUGGGGUACAAAGUGACACGUGAGAGAUGUCUGGAUACAGUGAUGCAAAGAGAAUGAGCAGAUGACACAACAAGGAGGAGGCAGGAAGAGCUGUGGAGUCCUGCUAGCUCCCUGUGAUGGUACUGGGUCAGGGUGUCACAACGGAGCCAGGCAGGAGCAAAUGGGCAAAGCGGGAUCUAGGCCUUUCUCUGAGAAAACCAAAGAAGAGCAAAAUCACCAGACUGCAAGGCCUUUUCAGCAGAUAUGCCAGGCAAAUCUCAGGACAAGGAUGAGCUGCAGAACCAGGCAUACCACUAAGAGCCUGAUGCCUACUUAGGCACCUAAAUUCCCAUUGCAUUGGAAGGGACUGUAACAGUGAAUACUAGGGCCAUUUGUCACUCCCUCACCCUGGUUUCUAAGGGCUGGAUUAGCACAGAGACAGACAGACAGAGCGAAUGAAGCAGCUCUGAAUUAAUCUCCAGUUUAGCAACAUGUUCUUUUUAUCCUCGGGAAGGAUUAGAUAGUGCCUUGGUGCUGACCUCUAAGCUCUACCUGCUGCUCCUCCAGGCAGCCCAAGGUUGAUUUGCCUUGGAUUUGAGGCAACUGCUGUCAAGAAUAUAAAGCUCAAGAGGUGAGUAACAGGCCUUCUCCUGAGAUAUUUUUUUCUCCCAGCUACCCUGUCAGCUUCUGCAGCUUUAAACCCAAUGAAGGAAUGAGUAAUUUUUUUCUAAUGAUUGAGAGAAGGUAGAUAAGAGGUAGGUCUUCAAAUUAAGAAUCCAAGACUUGAUUGCAGCUCUUAUCAUAUUUUUCCAUUUUUUCCCCCUUCUUCCGAAUAGAAAAUAAAUUGCUUCAAUAAAUUACAUCUUUAAUCUGCA